GUCGUGGCUUGGGUUUUGCCAGCUGGCGUGAUCUCCUCUAUGAGUAAUCAUGUGAGGUGCCAGAUCUAUGGCGUUUCCCUAAUGUAUCCGGAUGCACCCUUGUCUUGGCAGAAAGCCGUGGUGAGGUGCAGUGGCGGAAUCGUGGUUUAAUAAUCGGGUUGGUACUCAGUUGUCAGUGUGUUUGGCGAUCCCCUAGUCGGCACACUUAUGAUUUCUGGGAUAAUUCCAUAUUCCAUACCAGGCACGUUCCCGUCACUGUCACUUUGUCAUUGGUUUGAUGCUGAACUUGGUCAUGUGUCUGAUGCUAUUUUCAUAUAGCGACGGUACCCUUCGUGGUCUGUCUUCCUGACCUCGGUUCAGACGUGAUUACCCGCUGAACUUAAGCAUAUCACU
rnacentral:rRNA from 1 species